ensembl:lncRNA
GUGUGAUGGUCAGGUGUUAUGGGUGUGAUGGUCAGGUGUGAUAGUCGGGUGUGAUGGGUGUGAUAGUCGGGUGUGAUAGUCAGGUGUGAUACGUGUGAUAGUCGGGUGUGAUGGGUGUGAUAGUCGGGUGUGAUAGUCGGGUGUGAUGUGUGUGAUAGUCGGGUGUGAUGGGUAUGAUGGUCAGGUGUGAUGGUCAGGUGUGAUUGGUGUGUUGGUCAGGUGUGAUAGUCGGGUGUGAUGGCCGGUGUGAUGGGUGUGAUGGUCGCUGUGAUGGGUGUGAUGGUCAGGUGUGAUUGGUAUGAUGGUCAGGUGUGAUGGUCAGGUGUGAUUGGUGUGAUGGUCAGAUGUGAUGGUCAGGUGUGAUGGUCAGGCGUGAUUGGUAUGAUGGUCAGAUGUGAUGGUCAGGUGUGAUGGGUGUGAUAGUCGGGUGUGAUAGUCGGUGUGAUGGGUGUGAUGGUCAGGUGUGAUUGGUAUGAUGGACAGGUGUGAUGGGUGUGAUGGUCAGGUGUGAUUGGUGUGAUGGUCGGGUGUGAUGGUCAGGUGUGAUGGUCGGGUGUGAUAGUCGGGUGUGAUGGUCAGUGUGAUGGGUGGUCAGGUGUGAUGGUCGGGUGUGAUAGUCGGGUGUGAUGGUCAGUGUGAUGGGUGUAAUGAUCAGGUGUGAUGGUCAGGUGUAAUGGUCAGGUGUGAUGGUCGGGUGUGAUGGGUG